rfam:Triticum aestivum genome assembly, contig: Triticum_aestivum_CS42_TGACv1_scaffold_456661_5DS
GAAAUACUCCCUCCGUCCCAAAAUUCUUGUCUUAGAUUUGUCUAAAUACAGAUGUAUCAAGUCACGUUUUGGCAUUAGAUACAUCCGUAUCUAGACUAAUCUAAGACAAGAAUUUUGGGACGGAGGGAGUAUAAG